GACGAACGCUGGCGGCGUGCUUAACACAUGCAAGUCGAACGGAAAGGCCCUGCUUUUGUGGGGUGCUCGAGUGGCGAACGGGUGAGUAACACGUGAGUAACCUGCCCUUGACUUUGGGAUAACUUCAGGAAACUGGGGCUAAUACCGGAUAGGAGCUCCUGCUGCAUGGUGGGGGUUGGAAAGUUUCGGCGGUUGGGGAUGGACUCGCGGCUUAUCAGCUUGUUGGUGGGGUAGUGGCUUACCAAGGCUUUGACGGGUAGCCGGCCUGAGAGGGUGACCGGCCACAUUGGGACUGAGAUACGGCCCAGACUCCUACGGGAGGCAGCAGUGGGGAAUAGUGCACAAAGGGCGGAAGCCUGAUGCAGCAACGCCGCGUGCGGGAUGACGGCCUUCGGGUUGUAAACCGCUUUCGCCUGUGACGAAGCGUGAGUGACGGUAAUGGGUAAAGAAGCACCGGCUAACUACGU
rnacentral:rRNA from 1 species